rnacentral:lncRNA from 1 species
GAUGGUGCCGUGAAGAAUUUAACAGUUCUCUGAGGGCUCGUCCUGCCCCGGCCUGGGGGUUGGCUGUCCUGUAUUUUCAUAUCGUGUGUCUCUAAUUUAUUUCUUUCUUUUGUUCCCUUUUUAAGUGUUUUUGCUGAGGAAAUGCUCCUCCUGUCCGAGGCGAGAGCGAGCCGUGGGGCCUCAGCUCUCGGAUCAUGGAGUCCCCAUCUGUGGGUUCACCAUGGCCCCUCCCCAGUGGGAGAUGUCUGAGCCCGGGGUGACCCUCAGGCCACCAUGAAGUGACAACAGUGACCCCCCUCAGGUCAGAGCCCCCCCUGAACCCCCCAAACCCCCUCCCCAGCCCCCCCCAU